CCCCACUAUGCUUAGCCCUAAACUCAGAUGCAACCUUGUACAAAUGCAUUCGCCAGGGUACUACGAGCGCUAGCUUAAAACCCAAAGGACUUGACGGUGUCUCAGACCCGCCUAGAGGAGCCUGUUCUAGAACCGAUAAUCCCCGUUCAACCUCACCAUCCCUUGUUUUCCCCGCCUAUAUACCGCCGUCGCAAGCUUACCCUGUGAAGGGCCUACAGUAAGCAAAAUGGGUAGACCCCAAAACGUCAGGUCGAGGUGUAGCUUACGAGAUGGGAAGAAAUGGGCUACAUUUUCUACAACAGAAUACAACGAACGGCGCCAUGAAACCUGGCGCCUAAAGGUGGAUUUAGCAGUAAAAGACAAGCAGAGCGUGUUUUUGAAUCAGGCUCUG
rnacentral:rRNA from 1 species